rnacentral:rRNA from 1 species
ACGCUCGACACCUACGGGAGCAGCAGUGGGGAAUAUUGCACAAUGGGGGAAACCCUGAUGCAGCGACGCCGCGUGAGCGAAGAAGUAUUUCGGUAUGUAAAGCUCUAUCAGCAGGGAAGAUCAUGACGGUACCUGACUAAGAAGCUCCGGCUAAAUACGUGCCUGCAGCCGCGGUAAUCUGAGCGGGCUGGCAAGGC